CAUCAACCCAACUUAACCUUUUUAACUGUUGUCGCAUCCAAACUUGUCACCAUCGUUUUCAGUUGUAAUUGCGAAGUUCCCGGAAGAAGUCCAGCAACAACGGAGGUUCCUCGAUGAACCCACCUUCUAACAAGUUCUUUGAAGAACGUUUUGGGGGUGUUUGGUAUAGCUACUUGGUAUAGCUACUUGUUAGCUGCUACUUCCGAAUUUGAACACGACUUUUUACAACCAAGCAACAAUUCUUUUGGACAAAGGACCACUUCGCCAAGAUUCUGAUGGAAGCUCGUCCAAAACCUUCCUCUCCUCUGAAGACCCAGUGAGGGUGGAGCUCAGUCAGAGAGCUGUUGAGGGACUGGUUAGGAAGAACACUUCUACAGCCAGAGAGGGUUAGUCAAGAAAGGGAACGGCAAGGCCACAGAACAUGACAUAAGCAGAGCUGUGGGAGACCACCUCAAGCCCCUGGUAGAGCCGGGGGUGGUGUUUACCACUCCACCAGCAGAGCUGUGGGAGACCACCUCAAGCCCCUGGUAGAGCCGGGGGUGGUGUUUACCACUCUACCAGCAGAGCUGUGGGAGACCACCUCAAGCCCCUGGUAGAGUCGGGGGUGGUGUUUACCACUCUACCAGCAGAGCUGUGGGAGACCACCUCAAGCCCCUGGUAGAGCCGAGGGUGGUGUUUACCACUCCACCACUCCUUCAGCAGGCUGGAAAAGUGAUACUGUUUUUCAUACUAAGAGGUACCAAGAGUCUGUUGAUUGGUCAUUGGGUUCAUCAUUGGGUUCAUUUGUUGAAAUCAAAUCAAGCUUUAUUUAUACAGCACAUUUCAGACAUGAUGCAACAAUGGCUUCACAGGAAAAACCAAUGAAAAUAAACAGAAAUAUUUAGUACACAUCAAACAGAAGACUAACAACUGAAAGACUAAUGAACAUUCUAAGGAAAUGCCAUUGAUUAAAAUAUUAAUUGGAUGCAAUAUCCAACUCAAAAUACAAGCUUGUUUUUUAGGAGGGGCUCUGAUAAACACUAUGGGGGUGUCCACUGAAAAUUGACAAGUAACAACAACUGGGACCUAAAAGACACCCAUCAUGAGACCCACUAAAUCUGCCCAAGAAGAGGCAAACAAAAGAAAAACCCACACCAAACUUAAAGACAGGAAGCAAACCAAACAGGUGGAGCAACUAAAGGUGUUCACUCUCCACAUCUAUCAAGACAACUAGAGCACUGGGCCAGACACUCUUAAAUAGAACCUGGACCAGCUCAGGUGAAACACCUUACCACUAACGAGAUGGACAAGCCAGCACAGGUGUAACACAUACUGACUAACGAGGUGACACCAAUCAGUGCGUCCUACGUGCUAAAGUCCAACCUCAAAACAGAAAUGGAAAAACCAAAGCCUGCAACACCUUCCCCCUUAAGACAAAUAUAUCCUAUUUUUCCCCCCCACUAGCUUCUAGAACUCUCGUCCCCUUGGAACAAAAUCAAUUGUGAACUGCCCACCCUUGAUAUGAAAAAAAUAUGAGGUGAUUUGAGUCAAUUCACUUAAUGGUGAGGCAUGGAACAAUAAAACAUGUAUCUUUUGUCAGGCUGAAUGUUUGAAAUGUGAGGUGAUUUGAGUCAUGCUUCUUCAGUAGUGGAAUAAAGACAAUUAGCACUUGAAUGUUGUCAAGAAAUACUGGAGUGAUUGAUGUCAGAUUGUUAAUAAAAUUGAUUAUAGACCAAUUUAUUAUACUGCUUUCAUGUGUGUAUAUACACAAACAUCUGCAACAAUUAUCAUAUUACAUGUAUUUUUUUAAACAAGCAGCUUUUUCAACUUGUAGAAAACAGCUGGCUACAUUUUGAAGUGUUGCAUUUUGAUUAAAGUGGGUCACCAACGCAGUAAGUGUAACACAGCUCUUUUUUUGUUAGUCACUUUUUGUUAAAUAAUACUCUUUCAAUUCAGAGCCUGGAUUUUCCCCUGAGGCUAAUAUCCAUAUCAUGCUGCAAUCAAUUGAACAGGGCAAACGAUAAGGUAGAACAUCAUUAAAA